GAUGAAGAACGUAGCGAAAUGCGAUAGGUAAUGUGAAUUGCAGAAUUCAGUGAAUCAUCGAAUCUUUGAACGCACAUUGCGCCCGCCAGUAUUCUGGCGGGCAUGCCUGUUCGAGCGUCAUUUCAACCCUCAAGCCCUCGGGUUUGGUGUUGGGGAUCGGCGAGCCUUUCUGGCAAGCCGGCCCCGAAAUCUAGUGGCGGUCUCGCUGCAGCCUCCAUUGCGUAGUAGCACACCUCGCACUGGGAAACAGCGCGGCCACGCCGUUAAACCCCCAACUUCUGAACGUUUGACCUCGGAUCAGGUAGGAAUACCCGCUGAACUUAAGCAUAUCAAUAAGCGGAGGA
rnacentral:misc_RNA from 1 species